UACAUUUUGAUCAGAUACCGCAUACGCCGAUAGUCAGAAGUCAAUUUAAUUACAUGAUGAGACCAUUGAUUAAAAGAUAUUGAAGCUAAAGUAAAGUUCUCUUUAAUUUUGUUGAAAACCUGUUUAUGAUUAUUAUUAUGUAUUUAUAUUAUUUAUGUAUUUAUAUUAUUUAUUUAUUUUUAUUUUUAUUUUCCAGCUAGUUUUAUCUUUAUAGUAGCUUUUGUUAACAGUAAUAAUAACCUUGCUGUGCAUUCAUAUUUCACAGUUGAAUUAAUCAAGCAGGUGAUCCUAAUAUGCUUUAUAUAUAUUUAUAUAUUUAAAGUGGCAGACAAGUGUGUGCUUGGAAUAAACAGAUGAUAUUGUCCGCUGGUAUGGACGCUAAUAUAAUUAUCUUUAUAGCUAUUUUUCUUGGUGUGAAGAGGCCUUUAAGCUUUGUUCAGUAUGGCGCAAUUACAAACUGCUCUCAGGCCGGAAUUCUACUGAGCUGGUAAAAUGCGUGUAGUGAUGACCCCACUCAGGAUUGCUCACUUGUUUGUUGUCUGGUUACUAGUUUCUGUCUGUUGCUUGCCAAGCACAAUAUUUGAGUGAAGUAAAAUAUAUGAUCAUCCUCCAUAAUGCGUCACUAUUUUCAUCUCAUACUGUAUGUAAACACUUGCGUUACCAAGUUGUAUGUACAGUUGUAUGUAUUAUUAGGAUACAGAUGUAUACUUAUUGUUCCUAUGUCUGUGUUUGUUCAGACAAAGCUCCAGUGGCUGUGUGAGGAGGUGCGUGAGCGGAAGUUCAGAGAGAAGAGGUUGAGGAGAACACUGCAGCAGCACAAGUGGCAGAUAAAAGCACUGAAGCAAACCAAAGACUCAAAAAUGCAGAGCCUCCUGAACCACAUUACCUUGCAGGAUUGGCUUAUCAAAGACAUCCAAUCAGAGAAGAGAGUGGUGACUAAAAUGGUCUGCGUACAACAGCACAGAUGCAAGGUAAAUGUUGAGACAGAAAACACAGAAAAGGAAUUACGCUUGGGCCUUUAUCCCCACAGCAGCCGAGAACUCUGAAUUGCUUCCUCUUGAGCAGCAGCUGAAACAUCAAGCUCUUCUGUCUUCUAUAUCUGAUAGAAUUCUUGCUUAUACAGGUCUUGCUUCACCCUGGUAAUAGAAACAGGAUCAGGAAAGAUUGCAGUCACUGACCUUAUUCUAAAAAUUUACUGGCGCUCCAAUAGAUGUCUUUGACAACACUAGCCAGAUCUCUCCCUUAGUUUGACUUGUUUCUGGAAAAAAAUAAAUAAGAAAAUGAAACUGCUUAAAUACCAUUAAAGACCAUUCCUGUUUUCAAGCAGAGGUAAUAGUAAGUCACACAUGUGCAAGUCACAAGUAAGUCUCAAUUCUUAACCUUCAAGUCUCAAGCAAGUCCAAGUCAUUUUUUUUGUGAGAAUCUAGCAAGUCAAGUCAAGUCACUGCUUAUGUCAAGCAAUUCAAGUCAAGGCAUAGCUUGAGUCAAGCAAGUCACUGUCAAGUCAUACAAAUGUUUGAUGAUUUAACUGAAGUUAUAUAUUAAAAUAAGUUAAAACUACAGUAGUUAUGGACUAUGGGAGUUUUAUUUGCAACAACAACAACAAAAAGCAAUAUGCAUUUUUACUCAAAAGAUACAGCAUACAGCUCAGUUUUUAAAACAAUAAAAAUCUAUAAAUAAAAAUUACUAAACAUUCAAACUACAUAGACUAAAAUGUAAAUGUAAUUAAAAUUAGUCCAACAUAAAAACAUGAAAAGUAUUUAAGUACAGCUGUUUCAAUAUGCCUCAAACAUUGCAGAAGACCAUUAAACAAUCCAAGUAUAAUGGUUUCUAUGACAACAAAUGGCAUUCUUCAAACAGGCAUCACCUUUAUGGGACAUGAACACAUCCUUAAAGGCACAAUAUGUAAGAUUGUUUUAAAAAAAAAAAAUUAAAAUAUCCAAAAACCACUAGAACAGUGUUAUAUAUUUUGUUGACUUAUUAUGACUGUAUACUUAUACUGUAUACUGUUGACUGUAUACUUAUUAUCCCAAAUGUUUUGAAGAAUGUUUAAAUCCAGAGAAAUAAGCAAUUUUAACUAGUGACACGGACCGUGUCCUUAGUGUCAUUGUGUCACCUGCCAAUGAAGUCAUAUGAAGUCGACUAGAUUUCCGGUUUUGUUUUGUAGAAAACAUGGAAAUCCCAAAGAUGCUUUAAUAUAUUAUGUGUUUUAUUAGACAGAUGACGACUGCACAGAAUAGCAUUAUAACAUACUGCGUUAUAUGAGUACUGCAUCUGGUUAAAGACGUUAUGGGACAAACUAAUUUUUUCUCCUGAACUGAAGCCCUAUUCAGUCACGCAGUGAAACUGCAUGGCUAUCGGUGCUGCACAAACCUAUGACUGCAAAGCCCACCAAUGACCGCCAGAAUGGGCGGGGCCUCUGGCUAUAUAAGCGCCUGCUUCGGCAUAGGAUUUAGGUUACUUCGACUGAAGCGAUGACGAGUCGUGCAUCCUUUUUAGAAGCAGAGCAGUCUUUAGCGACAGGGCCUUUAGGCUGAUAGAUUGUAGCGGCUCAAAAGGUGAAACCUUUAAGGCCCUUAGUACAGUAGGAAGGUCCUGUGAAGGAACACUGAGGGGGCAUGGUGGAUUAAGCUUUCUGGCCCCUCUCAUAAAACACACAACAAGGUCUUUUUUCCCUACUGACUGGCCUGCUAUAGGGGCGUGUGACGCUGCUAUAGUCACUACAUAGACUUUGAGCGUAGAGGGGAAUUGACCCUUAUCCAACAGAUCUUGCAGGAAUGACAUUAUCACUGAUACGUCACAGACCGACGAGUCUUCACCAUUGUUCGAGCUACAAGCGGAGAACACCGACCAUUUGGAGGCGUAGAGGCAUCUUGUAGACGGGGCUCUAGCAUAAGAAAUAGUAUUUAGUAUGCACUCCGGAAGGCUUGCAGGCUCCCAUCGAGUGGCCAAAUAUGAAGGGCCCACAGAUCUGGAUGUGGAUGCCAGUUCCGCACACCUGAGAAAAGAGGUUCCGUCUCAAGGGGAUGGGCCAUGGGGCCACUAUCAGCAUUUGUGACAGUUCGGCCAACCAAUGCUGGUUCUCCCAAAGUGGGGCUAUCAAUAGAACUCUGAGUCCCUGGUCCCUGAUCUGCCUGAUUACCCUGGGAAUCAGAGCGAUCGGGGGAAAAGCAUAAAGGAGGAGGUCGGGCCAGUCAAGGGUUAACGCAUCCUCAUGCUUGGAGAAAUAUGUUGGGCAAUGAGAGUUGUUUUCAGAGGCAAAGAGGUCUACUUCCGCUUUGUGAAAAAUCUCCCAUAUUGUCUGAACUGUUUGUGGCUGAAGCAUCCACUCCUCUGAGGGAAUUCAGCUUCUUGAAAGCAUAUCCGCACCUUGGUUCAGUUUGGCUGGCCACUGCACUGCUGUCAGGGAGCGCAGAUUGUGCUGAGCUCAUACUAGCAGGUGAGACGUUAGCCUGCAAAGGUGCGUCGACAAUAGCCCGCCUUGAUGGUUCACAUACGACACCACCGUCAUGCUCUCCAAUUGGACUAGCACGUAAUGUCCCCUCAGGUCUGGCAGGCUCGGUGAACUGCAAGCAUUUCUAGGCAGUUGAUGUGAAGCCUGCUCUCCACGGGUUUCCCCUCGCUCAGAGCACCCUAACCCGUGUUGGAUGGGUCUGUCAAGAUUACCUUCCUUCUGCAAACAAUACAGAGUGGGAUGCCCCGUUCAAUUCAAAGCACACUCCUCCAAGGGGUCAGGGCUGAGGCGCAGGCCUGGCUCUCCUUGAUGCAUAGGCGCCCGUGGCAUGAGGCGGAACUCGUGGUUUCAACCAGUACUGAAGGGGGCAUAUGUGGAGCAGACCCAGCACUAGUACUGGUGAUGCUGCUGCCAUAAGAUCCAGCAGCUUUUGGAACAUCUUAGCGAGAGACACCAAUCUUGAAAGAGGCCAUGAGUCAUUGUAGAGCCGCGGUGCGCUCCUUCACCAUUGUUGCCCUUAUUGCCACAGAGUUGAGCGCUGUUCCCAGAAACGAAACUCGUUGGCUGGGAGACAGCAAGCUUUUGGGAAAAUUCACCCUGAGCCCUAGGCAUUCUAAAUGGCUGAGGAGCAGGGUUUUGUGAUGCAAGGCCUCUGGCUCUGACUGGGCUAGAAUGAGCCAGUCAUCGAGAUAAUUGAGAAUGCGGAUUUCCUUCUGCCUGAGAGGGGAGAGAGCAGCGUCCAUGCAGUUUUUAACAUGCAAGGGCCAAGGAUAGCCCGAAAGGGAGGACCCUGUAUUGGUAAGCCACACCCUCGAAGGCGAAUCUCAAGAACGGCCUGUGAUGGGGGGCUAUCUGGAUGUGAAAGUAAGCAUCUUUCAGAUCCAGAGAAAAGAACCAGUCCACUAAGCGUAUUUGACAUCUUAGAUCGAGGAUGGGUGAAAGGCCGCCAUCCUUUUUUUGGGGACGAGGAGGUAACAACUGUAAAAGUCGCGUUGGGCUGCGGGAACAAUCUCUAUGGCUCCUAUCACCAGCAGAUUCGUUACUUCGGCACGCAAAACGCAGGGGGUCUUUGUGCGAACUGGAGGAAAUAGCCAUGUGUUAUUAUCCCCAUAACCCAUUCUGACACUCCGGGAAUGGCUUGCCAUUGUCUGACCCGGAUGGACAGAGGUUGGAUUGGUUCGAAUGCUUGGUCGCUGCAUGGAGACACAGUACUCGUGAGUGAUGUGAGAGGAAAACUGCUCUUUUUGCGAAAAGGUGUGUGUUUUAUUUCUCGCACUAUCACAGCGCUUUGCUGUUUGGGUGCUAGAAUGGGCUCAGCAUUUACACAAAACACAGCUCUGUCAGCACCUGGAACUGAACAAGGUGGACGGCAAUACACACGGGGGUUUUUCCUCAGCGCCGUCGAGCGAGGUGAGGGCUGAAGAGGAAGAAGUGCAGAGGCGCACUGAGUAGGGAGUGUGCCAUGACUUGGUCAGCUCGUCAUGGACCUCCAGCAAGAAGGGGAACCAGCAGGGACCACUCAUCCAGACGGCUGCAGGAUGGUUCCUCGGGAGGAGACCCGGGCAUUUGCAUCAACACUGGAAAUUUACUCAGAAAUGUGCUCUUCGUCUCGCCGGAUGGCAGCAGGAGAAGCGAUGUUCUGCAGCGGGAAACCGGCAGUCGCGUUCCGCUUGCGAGGCAUGUCAACGGCGAGCAGGCAGUUCAGUGAGGCAGUUCUGAAAGAGAAGACAUCUGAAUCUUAUGGCGAAGCGGUAUGGAGUCAAAAUAAUGCCGUAUAUAAACGCAAAAAAAAUAAAAUAAAGUUUUGCAAAAGAAAAUAAAGUUUUGCAAACGAAAAUUAAAGUAUUGAGGAAAAUAAUUUUGCUUUUUGCAAACAAAAAUAAAGAAUUGCAAAACAUAAAUGAAACUGCGCGAAAGCAAUGAUUUUGCAAUACAUAUUUUCCAUGGUCAUAUCUAUUAAUUUAUUUGCAACACUGAUUUUAUUUUGCGUGUCAGUCUAGUGUGAGCUUGCGAUGCUGUUUUUCCUUUGCGCUUCAUUUUUC
ensembl:lncRNA